rnacentral:rRNA from 1 species
ACCCUGAACAUGCCUACCUUGUCUCAUCUCGGAAGCUAAGCAGGGUCGGGCCUGGUUAGUACUUGAAUGGGAGAUCACCUAGAAAGACCAGGUGUUGUAGGUG